UACGAAGGGGGCUAGCGUUGCUCGGAAUUACUGGGCGUAAAGGGCGCGUAGGCGGCACUGUUAGUCAGGCGUGAAAGUCCUGGGCUCAACCUGGGAACUGCGCUUGAUACGGCAGAGCUAGAGGAUGGAAGAGGGUCGCGGAAUUCCCAGUGUAGAGGUGAAAUUCGUAGAUAUUAGGGAAGAACACCGGUGGCGAAGGCGGCGACCUGGUCCAUUACUGACGCUGAGGCGCGACAGCGUGGGGAGCAAACAGGAUUGAGAAACCCGGGGUAGG
rnacentral:rRNA from 1 species